UGGGUUGUAAACUUCUUUUGUAGAAGGCGAAACGCACAUCUAGAAUGUGAACUGACGGUACUCUACGAAUAAGCAUCGGCUAACUCCGUGC
rnacentral:rRNA from 1 species